GUGGGUAUUAUUUUUGCUCAGUUUUGUUAGUGUUUUGAUGGUGUUGGGAUUCUGAGGAAGUGGUUUGUUAGUGGGUUAGUCGGGAGUAAAUUGAGGGAUUUAGUGGAUAUUCUUUUUAUUUUUAUUCUUUUUGACUAUUUUCUCUCUCUUUCAAACUCAAAAGAAUUAAUGUCCUUUUUUCUGUUGUCUAGCAAAAUUCUUUUCUUUCCUUACUUUUGAAACUCUGUCCGAAUCUUGUUAUUCAAUCCCUGGUUUUCGAUUCUUCGGUGUUUUUGC
rnacentral:lncRNA from 1 species